rnacentral:rRNA from 1 species
UGAUAGGCCGGGUGUGUAAGCGCAGCGAUGCGUUGAGCUAACCGGUACUAAUGGACAGUGAGGCUUAACCUUACAACGCCGAAG